rnacentral:rRNA from 1 species
AUUGAACGCUGGCGGCAGGCCUAACACAUGCAAGUCGAACGGUAACAGGAAACAGCUUGCUGUUUCGCUGACGAGUGGCGGACGGGUGAGUAAUGCCUGGGAAACUGCCUGAUGGAGGGGGAUAACUACUGGAAACGGUAGCUAAUACCGCAUAACGUCGCAAGACCAAAGAGGGGGACCCUCGGGCCUCUUGCCAUCGGAUGUGCCCAGAUGGGAUUAGCUUGUUGGUGGGGUAACGGCUCACCAAGGCGACGAUCCCUAGCUGGUCUGAGAGGAUGACCAGCCACACUGGAACUGAGACACGGUCCAGACUCCUACGGGAGGCAGCAGUGGGGAAUAUUGCACAAUGGGCGCAAGCCUGAUGCAGCCAUGCCGCGUGUAUGAAGAAGGCCUUCGGGUUGUAAAGUACUUUCAGCGGGGAGGAAGGGAGUAAAGUUAAUACCUUUGCUCAUUGACGUUACCCGCAGAAGAAGCACCGGCUAACUCCGUG